UGGGGAAUAUUGCACAAUGGGCGAAAGCCUGAUGCAGCGACGCCGCGUGAGGGAUGACGGCCUUCGGGUUGUAAACCUCUUUCAGCAGGGAAGAAGCGAAAGUGACGGUACCUGCAGAAGAAGCGCCGGCUAACUACGUGCCAGCAGCCGCGGUAAUACGUAGGGCGCAAGCGUUGUCCGGAAUUAUUGGGCGUAAAGAGCUCGUAGGCGGCUUGUUGCGUCGGUUGUGAAAGCCCGGGGCUUAACCCCGGGUCUGCAGUCGAUACGGGCAGGCUAGAGUGUGGUAGGGGAGAUCGGAAUUCCUGGUGUAGCGGUGAAAUGCGCAGAUAUCAGGAGGAACACCGGUGGCGAAGGCGGAUCUCUGGGCCAUUACUGACGCUGAGGAGCGAAAGCGUGGGGAGCGAACA
rnacentral:rRNA from 1 species